rnacentral:rRNA from 1 species
UACGUAGGGGGCAAGCGUUGUCCGGAAUCAUUGGGCGUAAAGAGCGCGUAGGCGGCCCGAUAAGUCCGCUGUGAAAGUCAAGGGCUCAACCCUUGAAUGCCGGUGGAUACUGUCGGGCUAGAGUCCGGAAGAGGCGAGUGGAAUUCCUGGUGUAGCGGUGAAAUGCGCAGAUAUCAGGAGGAACACCAAUGGCGAAGGCAGCUCGCUGGGACGGUACUGACGCUGACAGCGCGAAAGCUAGGGGAGCGAACGGG